GUACACGCUGUGACUAGCAUAUCAAUAAGCGGAGGAAAAGAAACUAACAAGGAUUCCCUCAGUAACGGCGAGUGAAGCGGGAAGAGCUCAAAUUUGAAAUCUUGAAAGGUCACCUUUCACGAAUUGUAGUUUAAAGAAGUGUUUUCUGUUACGAUCGUAAUAUAAGUUCUUUGGAAUAGGACAUCACAGAGGGUGAGAAUCCCGUCUAUGAUUGCGAUUUGUAGCUUUGUGAUACACUUUCAAAGAGUCGGAUUGUUUGGGAAUGCAGUCCAAAAUGGGAUGGUAAAUUUCAUCUAAAGCUAAAUAUUGGCGAGAGACCGAUAGCGAACAAGUACCGUGAGGGAAAGAUGAAAAGAACUUUGAAAAGAGAGUUAAACAGUACGUGAAAUUGUCAAAAGGGAAGCGUUUGACACCAGUGUUGUUUUCUCGAAAAUCAAUUAAAAAUGGCUCGAUUUUGUAUUGCUUGAGACCUUAAAAGCUCACUGUACAUUUUUCGUGUCUUUUUUAAUGCACUUUUCGUUUAACAAGUCAACAUCAGUUUCUUUUGUUGUAAAAGGGUCAUUGGAAGGUGGCUUUCUUUUCGGAGAAAGUGUUUAUAGCCUUUGGCCUCUGCAAUCGGAGAGACUGAGGUCUGCAGCGUAGACUCUUCGGGGUUAGAUACAUUUGUGCUAAGUUAUAGCUUUUUAUAGACAACUUGUUGACUAUAAUUAGUCUUGUAGCUUACUCGCUUAUGCUAUUUUACCUACGCUUAGGAUGUUGAGUAGCGACAUACGCAC
rnacentral:rRNA from 1 species